rnacentral:rRNA from 1 species
UCCGUAGGUGGAUAAUUAAGUCAGAGGUGAAAUCCUGCAGCUCAACUGUAGAAUUGCCUUUGAUACUGAUUAUCUUGAGUCAUUAUGAAGUGGUUAGAAUGUGUAGUGUAGCGGUGAAAUGCAUAGAUAUUACACAGAAUACCGAUUGCGAAGGCAGAUCACUAAUAAUGUACUGACACUGAGGGACGAAAGCGUGGGGAGCGAACAGGAUUAGAUACCCUGGUAGUCC